rnacentral:rRNA from 1 species
AUUGAACGCUGGCGGCAGGCCUAACACAUGCAAGUCGAGCGAGCGGCGGACGGGUGAGUAAUGUCAGGGAAAAUGCCUGAUGGAGGGGGAUAACUACUGGAAACGGUAGCUAAUACCGCAUACCAUCAGAUGUGCCCAGAUGGGUUUAGCUAGUAGGUGGGGUAACGGCUAACCUAGGCGACGAUCCCUAGCUGGUCUGAGAGGAUUACCGGCAACACUGAAACUUAACCACGGCCCAAGCUCCUACGAGAGGCAUCAGUGGGGAAUAUUACACAAUGGGCUUAGGCCAUAUACACCACUGACGCAUGUAUUACGAAGGCCUUCGGUUUGCAUCGUACUUUCAGCGGUGAGGCAUUACCCGAAUAAGAAGCACCGGGUAACUCCGUGCAAGCAGCCGCGAUAAGAC